CUAAGUUGACUGCCGGUGACAAACCGGAGGAAGGUGGGGAUGACGUCAAAUCAUCAUGCCCCUUAUGAUUUGGGCUACACACGUGCUACAAUGGACAAUACAAAGGGCAGCGAAACCGUGAGGUCAAGCAAAUCCCAUAAAGUUGUUCUCAGUUCGGAUUGUAGUCUGCAACUCGACUACAUGAAGCUGGAAUCGCUAGUAAUCGUAGAUCAGCAUGCUACGGUGAAUACGUUCCCGGGUCUUGUACACACCGCCCGUCACACCACGAGAGUUUGUAACACCCGAAGCCGGUGGAGUAACCUUUUAGGAGCUAGCCGUCGAAGGUGGGACAAAUGAUUGGGGUGAAGUCGUAACAAGGUAGCCGUAUCGGAAGGUGCGGCUGGAUCACCUCCUUUCUAAGGA
rnacentral:rRNA from 1 species